UACAGAGGUGGCCAGCGUUGUUCGGAAUCAUUGGGCGUAAAGGGCGCGUAGGCGGCCCUGCAAGUCGGGUGUGAAAGCCCCUGGCUUAACCAGGGAACUGCAUUCGAUACUACAGGGCUUGAGGGCAGGAGGGGAGAGUGGAACUUCUGGUGGAGCGGUGAAAUGCGUAGAUAUCAGAAGGAACGCCGGCGGCGAAAGCGGCUCUCUGGUCUGCUCCUGACGCUAAGGCGCGAAAGCUAGGGGAGCAAACGGG
rnacentral:rRNA from 1 species